rnacentral:rRNA from 1 species
UGCAAGUCGAGCGGAGACGGGAGCUUGCUCCUUGAUUCAGCGGCGGACGGGUGAGUAAUGCCUAGGAAUCUGCCUGGUAGUGGGGGACAACGUUUCGAAAGGAACGCUAAUACCGCAUACGUCCUACGGGAGAAAGCAGGGGACCUUCGGGCCUUGCGCUAUCAGAUGAGCCUAGGUCGGAUUAGCUAGUUGGUGGGGUAAUGGCUCACCAAGGCGACGAUCCGUAACUGGUCUGAGAGGAUGAUCAGUCACACUGGAACUGAGACACGGUCCAGACUCCUACGGGAGGCAGCAGUGGGGAAUAUUGGACAAUGGGCGAAAGCCUGAUCCAGCCAUGCCGCGUGUGUGAAGAAGGUCUUCGGAUUGUAAAGCACUUUAAGUUGGGAGGAAGGGCAGUAAGUUAAUACCUUGCUGUUUUGACGUUACCGACAGAAUAAGCACCGGCUAACUCUGUGCCAGCAGCCGCGGUAAUACAGAGGGUGCAAGCGUUAAUCGGAAUUACUGGGCGUAAAGCGCGCGUAGGUGGUUUGUUAAGUUGGAUGUGAAAGCCCCGGGCUCAACCUGGGAACUGCAUCCAAAACUGGCAAGCUAG